rnacentral:rRNA from 1 species
CACCGCGGUUAUACGAGAGACCCAAACUGAUAAACACGGCGUAAAGGGUGGUUAAAAUUAAAUAAGAUAAGGCUGAAUUAACCCCUGACUGUUAUACGUUACGGGUUGAAGAAAAACUAAAACGAAAGUAACCUUAAGAAUUUGAACCCACGAAAGCUAAGAAA